rnacentral:rRNA from 1 species
GACGAACGCUGGCGGCGUGCCUAAUACAUGCAAGUCGAACGGAGUGGCGCACGGGUGAGUAAUAUAUAGCUAAUCUGCCCCUUGCUGGGGGACAACAGUUAGAAAUGACUGCUAAUACUCCAUAGCAAGGGAUGAGACUAUAUCGUAUCAGCUAGUCGGUGGGGUAACGGCCUACCGAGGCUAUGACGCGUAACUGGGCUGAGAGGAUGAUCAGUCACAUUUGAAGUGAGACACGGGCCAAACUCCUACGGGAGGGCGCAGUAGGGAAUAUUGCGCAAUGGGGGAAACCCUGACGCAGCAACGCCGCGUGGAGGAUUACACUUGUCGGGGCGUAAACUCCUUUUGUUAGGGAAGCGGUACCUAACGAAUAAGCACCGGCUAACUCCGUGCCAGCAGCCGCGGUAAUUC